CCUACGGGAGGCAGCAGUGGGGAAUAUUGCACAAUGGGGGAAAGCCUGAUGCAGCGACGCCGCGUGAGUGAAGAAGUCUCUCGGUAUGUAAAGCUCUAUCAGCAGGGAAGAAAAUGACGGUACCUGUCUCAGAAGCGCCGGCUAACUACGCGCCAGCAGCCGCGGUAAUACGUAGGGGGCAAGCGUUAUCCGGGUUUACUGGGGGUAAAGGGAGCGUAGAGGGGAGUACAAGUCUGGAGUGAAAUCCCGGGGCUUAACCCCGGAACGGCUUUGGAAACUGGGGGGCUGGAGUGCGGGAGGGGUAGGCGGAAUUCCUAGUGUAGCGGUGAAAUGCGUAGAUAUUAGGAGGAACACCGGUGGCGAAGGCGGCUUACUGGACUGUAACUGACGUUGAGGCUCGAAAGCGUGGGGAGCAAACAGGAUUAGAUACCCUGGUAGUC
rnacentral:rRNA from 1 species